rnacentral:rRNA from 1 species
AUUGAACGCUGGCGGCAUGCCUUACACAUGCAAGUCGAACGGUAACAGGUCUUCGGAUGCUGACGAGUGGCGAACGGGUGAGUAAUAUAUCGGAACGUGCCCAGUAGUGGGGGAUAGCCCGGCGAAAGCCGGAUUAAUACCGCAUACGACCUGAGGGGGAAAGGGGGGGAUUCGAAAGAACCUCUCGCUCUUGGAGCGGCCGAUAUCAGAUUAGGUAGUUGGUGGGGUAAAGGCCUACCAAGCCUGCGAUCUGUAGUUGGUCUGAGAGGACGACCAGCCACACUGGGACUGAGACACGGCCCAGACUCCUACGGGAGGCAGCAGUGGGGAAUUUUGGACAAUGGGCGCAAGCCUGAUCCAGCAAUGCCGCGUGCAGGAAGAAGGCCUUCGGGUUGUAAACUGCUUUUGUCAGGGAAGAAAUCCUCUGGGUUAAUACCUCGGGGGGAUGACGGUACCUGAAGAAUAAGCACCGGCUAACUACGUGCCAGCCGCCGCCGUAAGAC